UUUUUCCCCUGCUUCUGGAGAAGGGAGGAAAGGUGGUUUGGUUGUGAUGUUCAUGCUGAUGAAGAGUUAGUUGUUUAAUGAGACAUCUUGAGCCACACAGCAGUUGAGCUUUGAUCAUUUGGGACUGAAUAGUGACUACCCCUGUGAAGCCACAGCAAAUAUGUGAAAAUCAGUGAGCUGUAGAACACUAAUGAGAAGAUGCAGUGCCUUCCUGCACAACAGCCACGGUAAUCUGUGUGAUAAAUAAGAAGUUACUCAUAGACGCCUCUACUGUUCUUUUCCUCUUCAUUAUUACCAUGUAGCAAUUUUUGUAUUCUGUUGGGAUUUGAGCUGCAGGAACAACUGAAUGGCCUGAAGUUCAACAGUGCUGCUGUGUGUACAUACAUAUGCAUAUGCAUACUUGGAGAGAGACAGAGUAUGCUGUUGGCUUCCUCACUUGUCACCUUUCAUGUCUGGGUCUCCUUUUUAAAAUAUUAGACCAAUUCUUGAUGUUCAAG